CAUUGAUCGAUCAUUUUAUUGUUCAACUCGUAUGACAUGAGACCGCAGAUAAAUAUUAACAAAGUGAACAGAAAGCAAUAGGAACAAUAGUUAUGAUCAUAUCAGUAACCACGCUCACUUUUACUCGAUCACGGCGGUUUUCGUGUCUGUCGGUUUAACUGUCUCCAGGUUUUGGCAGGUUGCCUGCAGAAGAUGUGCUGUGAGACAGGGGCGGGCUUCAGUUCAUGCGGUGGAGACCUCAUAAGCUCUCGUUUGAGACGUUCGGCUCGGAGAAAGAGCGCAGAGAAGCACAAUGAUAUUCUGCUUCCUGACAGUGCAUUUCGUGACAUCGGCAGCGGAGGCGGACGUCUUCGCCACAGCAGCUCCUGUGCUCCACCUGCCCGGAGAGGACGGGAGCAGGACCGUCCUGGUGUGCGUGGUCAGCGACCUGCGGGACGGUGACGUCGAGGUGCUCUGGCUCUCCGGCCGCACGGGGGAGCCCAGGCAGGCGGGUUACGGCUUGGCGCGGGACGAGGACGGCUCCCGCAGCGCCACGUCUGUCAUCUCGGUCGCCUCGCACGAGUGGGAAUCCUUUGUGUGCUUGGUGAGCUACAGGGGCCCGGGCAACCGCAAAAGUACGCGCUACAUAGAUGUGGCAAAUGUACAGACACAGACCGAUGCUGUGAUCAUCUUGGCCCUCAGAAUCCUGCUCAUAAAAACAACCACGUUCAACUUCCUGUUGACCACACAAGUUGUCAUGACGUGCCGGAACAGGAAUGAAGAACAGGUUCUGGCUGUCGGCCUGGAUGCGGUCCUCGUGCAUUCCUUGGUCUGCACGGUUCGCUACAGCGCAGGGGCAUGACACAGGUUCAAUGUGUGACAGGCCUUUCUCUGGUCCAGUGUCCUCUGAGAAAUGUCCGUCUGGUGAACACAAGACAUGGCAGUAGGCACCAUGGAUGGCUUCACCUGCCCUCAUCCACGGCUGGGGUUUGGCCUUCGGGUGGAGGAACCACUGGCAUAAGGUGAAGACGACACGCUGUGCUGUUACAAGAGGACUAUGACGUGCAGGAGAUGUUGAUUGUUCCUCCAUCAUCCAUCCAUCCAUCCAUCCAUCUUCAUUAAGCGCUUGUCCUGGUCAGCGUUGCAGGGGUCCGGAGCCUAUCCUGGAAGUGUUGGGCACAAGGCUAAAGGGGGGUACAUCAUGCCGUCUCAAUACGGCUUCAUUCCUUUUCCUUUUAUUUACUCAUUUUCGUAUGUUAGAUCUUUUGUAUUUGUUUUUCAUUCUUGGGUCUAUACAAAACAAAAGAAUUAUUAAUUCAUCAGUCAGUAGGGGUCAGUACCUAGUACAACAGUACUGCAGCAGUGCGAUCUCUGAGUCCAAAGGCAGCAGCUCUAACCAAUACGCCACCUGCUGGCCGUACAAAGCAAGCACACCUCCGGCUUGCGACGGUCAGGGUUCGUCCCCACUGCUCUGGAACGUGGCUUUUCAGCACUGCUCCUCCUGGACCUGGGCACGUGCUGCUUUUUGUUCUCGCUGAGCCUUUCAUUAAUUAUGGCUGAAGCACUGACUGGAUGAAUUAUGGAAGCAGAGGGUCUAGUGCGGAGCGCAGCCUACUGUUUAAGAUGUUUCGGACCGAAUGGCAAGAAAUCCUCUCUUUCAGUGGGUUCUGCUCUGCGUACAACUUUUUUCUAUUAUUGAUAAAUUUAUGUGGGUGUUGAAGACAGCUGGCGGGGAACAUAAGCGAUUAGCAGCGAUUGUUUCUUUUGUGAACAGCGUACCGCUUAGAUUUAUUACGUCUUCUUUCUUCUUAUGGUUAGCUAAUUCAUUUGAAAAGAAAUCAAUUAAAAAAAUGAGAAAAUAAAAAGUAAAACUCUACAAAGGGUUUACA
rnacentral:lncRNA from 1 species